GUGGGGCUUUGGCAGUAACAUGGCCUUCAGUUUUCUCUAGGUCUCCCUGUAAUAUAUAUCCUUGCCCUUCCUAGUGAGAGGAGAGUGCUGUGGGCACCAGGAGGUAAAGCUUCCCAACACACUCUCCUGGCUGAGGAGUAGAUGCUUUGUCUUUUCUAAGAACAUAGGUACGAGAAACUGAUAGUUAUUGGAGGUGCAGAGGCCAUUGCAGAGGUCAGCUGUACUGUGGAAAGGAAAAGCCAGAAAGGAGAGUGAAGCACUACCAGAGAGGAUGUCAUAAACUGAAGUAAGCUGCUUUAGCCGGUAACCCAAAGCUCCCGAGCAGUACUCUUGAGAUCUGAGCCAUUAUAACCUAACCUCAGAUGCAGAAUACGUGAUAGGUGGGCUUUCUGCCCAUUCCUCAAACACCACCACCCUUGUUUUUAUUUUCAGAUGGUUUUGGAGAGGUUUGUUUAUUUCUUUUUGUAUUUACAGAAUAUUCUUGGGUGGAUUUGAGGGGGAUUAUCUGAGAUAAAAAGUACACAUCUUGGGUUUUGCUUGCUUGACAAGAGAUAACCUCAUGGUCCUUUUUGAAGAUGGGGUGGGGUAUGUGAAAAUUCAUUGAUACUUGAGGGUUUUUUCUCUGCUCCAUUGUUUUUGUUUAUAACAUAAUAAAACAAGUUAGCUUUUCCUUUGGAGGCCAUUAUUAAGGUAGGUCUGAAGAUCAGAGUCCGGUUCCAGCCUUGCCCUUCCUGUCCAGGGCAGGAGGCAUUCUGCCACAGACUUAAUAUUCAUCUUGAUACAAUCCUGCUUCUGUAGUGAACAUGUUUGAGUAGGUUUGGCACCCUAGAUACUUGGUGUCAUUUCAGUUGCUCCCUGGCUGGGGUCUGGCACCAUCACCUGCUGCCUCCUGCAAGCUGGGAAAGAACAUACUUCUUUUUUCUUUCUUUUCCAAAGAAGAGAUAAUGUGCAAGCAAUACCCCUGUAAUGUGCAAGCAUUCAGUGGAAAAGGACUUACUGGAAGUGAUGUAGGAAGUAUUAAACCUCCUGAGCAGAUGGUGUUCCAGUACCUGUUAGGAAAAGCAGUAUUUCACCCAUCUUCCCCUCUUCCUUGAGGACUUUAUCUGUUCUCUGCUGCUUGAGAGGGUCAAAGGAAACUACUUUUGAAGCUGUUGUCCUGUGACUGAAUAUUGAUGUGAAAGGCUUUAUUUCAAGUUCUUGGAGCAGGCAGAGAGUCCUGUGGGUUGGUUCUGUAGUUGCAUGUUGGGAUUCCUGGAUUCUGAUGAUCUUCAGCAGGACCUCCUGUUUGUCUGCUUUCAUGUACCCAGAGAAUGGAGUGAGUCCCUAGUCAUGUUUGAGACACCAUUUGGUGAGAUACAGUAGUGGGAAAGGGUAAGGUCUAGCUAAGGUGUUCAGAAGGGACUAUGUCCCAUAUUUAGAAGUAAUAUAAGUGCUUAAAUAUUUCUCAGAUCACUGUGGAGGCUUCUCCCUGCUGAGAGAUCAUGGAGCACCCCAAUCAUGCAGUUGCGUGAGAUCUUUGAGCUAAAACUGCAGCUUCUGGCGUCUGCAGCUAUAAAGCAUACCAGAAGUUGCCAGACUUUGCCUGUGUCAGUUCUCCCUCUGGUGCAAUUGAGCAGGUGUAACUUGUCCUCUCAAAUUCCCCAUCAGAGUCAGGAUCUUAGUGACAGUGACAUGCCAUCUGCUGCUGGAUUAGGCAAGUGUAUCAACAUUUCACACGUGGAAGCAUUCAAAAUGCUGUUAGCCAGCAGCGUGUAGAGCACAUGGCUUGUGUGCUCACCUAGGAGAAAAAAACCCACACAAAAAUGAAUCAAGGAUUGAAUUCCCUGUAAGCAGAUAAGAUGAAAGCUGUGAUCUGGUCGAAACAAACUGAGUGUGAGCUUUAUUCCUGCUGUAGUGCACACCUUCCCUGGGCCCGCUCCACUUAAGCUUAAGUCAACUGCUGUAAGGUGGUAGAUCAGGUUCUGUGUUCCCAGCACUGCUUUGAGCAUGUUGUCAUAUAUAGUCCCAGUGGAGUUUUUGCAUGUUCCUAGAACUAAAGAUGUGCUUAAGUGCAGGAUAGGAUGCUUAUCUCAGGGUAGGGAUGAGCUGUAUUAGAGUCCAGAUAUACCCAAAAUAAAGGGUAUUUUACUCUCCUUUUUGGCAAUCAGUUUCUCUCUGUAUUCUCGAGAGAGAUGAGGCGAAUAUAGCUUCUAUUUACUCACUCCUGUCUCAUAGCAACACUGUUGAGGUCACUGCUGCUCUCUUGUGACAGUCUUUUACAUUAAAAGUGCAAGAUGCAGGCUUACAGUGCCUGGGGAAUUAGAGUUAAAUUUCUUAACUAAAGAAAGAAACGUACAGGUUUAAAUACCUACAAAGGUCUGAGGUGGAUAGCCAUAUACUGACAUUUGGAUUGUACUGCGUCACAUGUAUAUUAAAUAUCUACAUAUAUAUAUAUAUAUAUAUAUAUAUAUAAAAGUUGCCCAUGUGAAUUGAGGAAUCGCUGCUUUCUGUGUAAUGCAGGAAACUGCACAUAGAAGUUCUGAUUCUGCAAAGAUUUGCCCAUAGAGAACAACAUGUAUAGUCACUGCCAUAGCAAAGAGUGUUCUGCUGCUUGUCUGGUGUUAAUCUCUUCAUUACUCACACUAUUAAAAGCCCAGUGAAGUACAAGCACAUUUGCAGUUCACAAAAUUAAAAUCUCAGCACCCUUUUUUCCUGCUGUAUUUAUGCUCCCCAUUUCCUUUCACUCUGUGUGGAGCUGAACUCUGAUCCAUACUCGACAGCUUUCUAUAUGUAAGGGGAAAAACCAUCUCUCUAUACUUAGAGCCUUCAACUGGCUUCCUCCCUCUGAGUUUAAAAGUGGCUGCUGCUUCUAGAUGCAUGCUUCCUCCAAACCAGGGCACUCCAAUUGGUAUGUAUUUUUAGUACCUCUAAACUUUAGGCAGAAUUCUUUUCACUGAGAACUAUUUGGGUACUGAACUGUAUUUGUGGGUAGAAGAUGCCCCAGAAGUGUUUGCAUCCAUGUAGAUCAGAAGUUCCUUCCAUCCUGGUAUCUGGACUUCAAAGUGGGUCGUUACCACAUGGUUAAAUUAAUCUAGAACAAAGUAGGAGAGCCUUGGACUCAAACCUACUGUAGCUACUCCUUGACAGCCACGCUGCUGCAUAGCAUCUGUAGGCUAAACUGAUGUUGCAUGAGCUGGUUUGCUUAUCUGGUGAAAGACUAAUGUGUUUGGAUGUUGCAUGUUAGCUCAUCCAUGGACACCGGCAGUCCCUGUGCAUCUGGGCUGUGGAAAUGUGAGAUAAUCUGGUUUUAGCUUAACUUUGCUCCAUUGCAGGCCGACAGUUUCCCUGUUACUUUAUCUCUGCAGACUAAAAGCACGCCAUUGAGUUACAAGAGCUAAGUUGUUGCAUGGUAACUUAAUCAUGUACUUGAGCCCUCAUGUACUUCAUCAGCUCUGCAUCUACACCAGCCCUAUCAGUGGCUGCACUGUGAGAAAGUUCUUAACCUUCCUGGUGGCCCAUGCCAUGUGUGCGCAGCGUGCAUGGAAUAAACACAAUGAAAAGUGCUCAAGACUCUGUUCUCCUGUCUGUUCAGUUCACACAAGCUGGCUAAGAGAACUGUGUAGUUUGGAGAAGCACUUGACUAGGAGCAAGCCCAGGAGGUGCCGAGGAAACGGGGACUUGUAGCGUUGUCUGAUGCUACUGUCAGUGUGCACUGGGAGCCUCCUGUAUCGCUUCGCAGCUGUGCAUCAGAACCUCCUGUCUCUCUGGAAGUGUACCUUUUCUUGAUCUUGACUUGGUCACAAAGGUGAAAUAAAGAUAGCUGUUUGAAA